rfam:Schistosoma mansoni strain Puerto Rico chromosome W, complete genome
AUCCAGCUGACGAGUCCCAAAUAGGACACAACGCGCAUCCUGGAU